AGCGAACGCUGGCGGCAGGCUUAACACAUGCAAGUCGAGCGGGCCCUUCGGGGUCAGCGGCAGACGGGUGAGUAACACGUGGGAACGUACCCUUUGGUUCGGAAUAACGCUGGGAAACUAGCGCUAAUACCGGAUACGCCCUUUUGGGGAAAGGCUUGCUGCCGAAGGAUCGGCCCGCGUCUGAUUAGCUAGUUGGUGGGGUAAUGGCCUACCAAGGCGACGAUCAGUAGCUGGUCUGAGAGGAUGAUCAGCCACACUGGGACUGAGACACGGCCCAGACUCCUACGGGAGGCAGCAGUGGGGAAUAUUGGACAAUGGGCGCAAGUCUGAUCCAGCCAUGCCGCGUGAGUGAUGAAGGCCUUAGGGUUGUAAAGCUCUUUUGUCCGGGACGAUAAUGACGGUACCGGAAGAAUAAGCCCCGGCUAACUUCGUG
rnacentral:rRNA from 1 species